UUGAGAAUUUCUGGUGCUGAGAAAUGUGUCAGGUUUUUUGAAGAAAAAAUAAAUAAAUCACGCCAAUUAUAUCCGCGAACGACAACAUAAUACUGUAUAUUAUUUAGAAGGCACUCAGGACAGGGAAACACUCGUUAUUUUCUCUAAUGUCACAUAUUUGUUAUUGCUGUUUAAUUACACAUCAUCACCACGACACAGUCUGGUUCACUCAUGAGAAAACGAGAAUCUCCUACGAUUUCCGCCUAGGUUCUGUGUCGUGCGCGUCGUGCAUAGGCAGCGCCGCUGGAAUGCAAAGAAUGCGGACCGAGCGGCGCGUCUUGACGGGAAGUGCGCUCGAGUAGGUUUUUCAAACGGUUAAUUUGCAUAGCCAGUGUGGCGCUGUUUUCCAGAGCGAAGUCAGCAUAAAAAUAACCGACCAUUCCUCCACCAGUGAAUCAACAAUGGUGAACAAGCAGCACUUAAGGGUCAUCACUGAGGAAAGCCUGCAGGAGGAGGAGGACCACAAGGCAGGUCCGCCGGAAAAAGUGAGGCCACAUUUGCCACACGCAGCAUUUGCCAAAGCACUUUUGAUUUAGUUUAAUAAAAAAUAUUGUCGCCAAAGUAA